GAGAGUAUGCUGGGCCAUCUUAGUUGUCGUAUCAAAUAUUCUCCAGCGGAAUGGGGCCCUCGUGGCCAUAUCCAGAGGUGAUAGCUACACUGUCGCUCCCUCUCACUCUUUUUUAUUAUUAAAAAAAAAACAAAUCAAACCUAUCUAGUAGCAUAUGCAUUUCAAAGGGACUAAUAUAUACUUUAACUAAAUCUUAUCUAUUUUUAGAUGACGAGA
rnacentral:lncRNA from 1 species